CCCUACACAACCAAUCAUGCAUAACCCUAUUCUACAACAUGCAUACUCAAGCAUACAAGCUCCUAGGGGCCUCAAACUAACUUAAACCCCAACUACAACACACAAGCAAGCCACAUUGCUCAAGAACAUGCACAUCAAACCCAUAAACAUAACAUAAACUUCCACAAGCCUACUCAUGCAUUUCUACCCUAUAGCUCUACUCAAAACUUACUUAAAACAUGCAAGAGAGGUUGGAUCUAAGCUUACCUCUUGAAGAUCGAGAGGAAGAACGAUCCUAGCUUGGAGGUAGGGAGAAAUCCACUCUUUGAUUUCCAAGCUUCCAAACUUGCUCAAACUUCAAAACUCUUCAAAAACAAGAUGUAACUUGUUAAGAUUUGAAAGAUUUGAGGGAAAACACUCAAAAUGACCAUAGGAGGGCUAAAGCUUACCGUCGGCCGAAAUGGGAGAGAAAACCUCGCCUGUUUCGGUCACGGGGUCCUUUAUAGGGCUGGUUCUGUCACCUUUCGGCGGCCUAACGUGCCCCCACAUCUCAUGCAUGUUCGGCGGCCGAACAUGAGGUUCGGCGGCCGAACCUUGACUCACUCAAACAAGGCUUUCGGAGGCCUAAAACGCUCCCAAAACCUUACCAUGUUCGGCGGCCGAACUUAACUUUCGGCGGCCGAACCUGGCAAAGCC
rnacentral:lncRNA from 1 species